UACGUAGGUGGCAAGCGUUGUCCGGCUUUACUGGGCGUAAAGAGCGCGCAGGCGGUCGUGCAAGUCGCGUGUGAAAGCCCCCGGCUCAACUGGGGAGGGUCACGCGAUACUGCUCGACUCGAAGGCAGGAGAGGGAAGUGGAAUUCCCGGUGUAGUGGUGAAAUGCGUAGAUAUCGGGAGGAACACCAGUGGCGAAGGCGACUUCCUGGCCUGUUCUUGACGCUGAGGCGCGAAAGCUAGGGUAGCAAACGGG
rnacentral:rRNA from 1 species